rnacentral:tRNA from 1 species
GCCUUCGUGGUGUAGUGGUCAGCACGCUCGGCGCGUAUUCGAGAGGUCCGUGGUUCGAGUCCCGCCGAGAGCA